GCGUGAGGCGGCGACGGUUGCGGCGGGCGGCGCGCGCCGGUGGCCAUGGCGGGAGCGUGAGGGACCGGCCGCCUCCCGCCGCCACCCGCCUCCCCUCUGCGGGAAUCUUGUCCUCCCCCCCUGCCCAGCCGCCGACAGACAGCGGUCGGGCGCGUCCCCCUCAGUUCCCGCAGGUGCUCGUGCGAGGACGCGGCAGAAAGCGACGCUGGCCCCAGGAAAGUGUCAGAGGCGUGAGGGAGCCCCAGCUGUCUCAGCUCUGCUCCAAAGGAGACAUUUGUGUAGGUACAAGAACAGUUCCCAGCGCAGCCCAAGCCGCAGGGAUGAGGACACUGAAGUGAUGAUGCAGUUGCUGCAAAAAUGAACUGUUUUCAAUGUCUGUGGGAACAGGACAAGCAGCAAUGGACUCAAGUAGCAGCAAGGAAAACUUUUUCUUCAGACAUGAGUAAGCAGGAAGGUCUGAGCUGUCAGCUGCAGCUCACCUGAUGGCAGAGUCAUCGCUGGAACGAAUUCCAUUCAGGAGCUCUGUGAAGAGAGGAUCCACUUUGACAUGGAUGACAAUGAGCUUCCCAAGAGCAUCGGCAGCUUUAAGGCGAACAGCACGGUUUGAGUCUUGCAGAGCUUUGGUGAACGUUGUUUGCAACUGGGGCAAAAACGGUUUCAGAGCAAUCUCAACCUAUUCCAGGGUGGAAGAAGGGAAAGUGGUGGGGUCAAGUAUUAAAGAGAAGCUAGAGAUCAAAGCCUGAAAACCUCUUCUACAGCAGUUUGUUAUCAGAGAACCCUCGUUAAAUCUAAUGCACUACUAAAGUAGGAAAAACAUGAAACAACAAUUCACCACAAAACCUUUGACCUUUUCCAAUUUAAUAAUCUUUUCUUCACACUGAAAUACAAGGGUAGCACUGAGAAUUUUACACUAUCAUGUACUCAGAGCACUGAAUAAAAGCUCAGCUCUGUUCAAAGAUACAUAAGAUCUUUGCACUUAACAAUAUAUUAAAUGGUGGAUUCAGGAGAGAUUAAUUUCAUGGUGGGUUUUAAUCACUUGAAAGUGGGAUCAGCAUUUAUCAAUAUUUCUAAGAAGCCCAGUGUUUCAGCACUGGGGGCUUUCUUUGUAGGCCAGAAGCUGCUGAAAGAAUGCAGUCCAGUUACAAUGCUAUUCCUACAUAUCAAAUCCACAGCAGCAGGCAUCCCAGCUGUAUUUACAUGAACAGCAACAGGUAUUUCUGAAGGUUGCCAUGGAAAAUGUUCACAAACCACAGUCCAAUACUUUGAAUCUUACCUUAGCUAAAAGAAGGCUUAGUGUUUCAAGCAGAGCCACCUUGACAUUCCAGCUGAACCGAUCUCCCAAGAUUCGAAUGAGUGGCCCAGUGAUGCUCACCACAGAUGGUUUGAGAGCUUCAGCAGAAGUCAGCUUUAUAACCAGCCCUAAGGCCUUUGCUGCCUCCUCCUUCUGUUCUGGAUUACCAGUUAAAACACCUUCCCGCAGCACCACAAGUAUGGAAGUCACUCCCUGUCACAAAAACCAGAUAAGAAAGCUUAGAAGCUAAGAUGCAAGAAAUACGUAUCUUAUUUUUGCUGCUAUUAUACACCAGAUGCACAAACUUGGAGAGUUUCUCUCAAUUUCCUGUUGACCUUCAGCUGCCUGAUUCCACAUUGACAGAGCUACUUUUAUUUGGUUUGAUUUCAUGCCUCUCCGCCUUACUAAGCCAGUUGCUAUGAGAAAAGUGGUGGCGGCUCAGGGAAUUUUUAAACCAGAGAAAUUUGGCACAGAAGUCCAGUGUUACUCCCCCACAAAAGCAGCCAGUAACCAUAACUUAUGUGCAUAACAGAACUGUCAGAGACCUCACUGCAAGAGGGGUCUUCUGUAGGGUUACUCAAAAGCUCUAACCUACAAAAAGUCCUCCAAUAUACAGGUUUGGAACGCCUAAAUAGUCACUGCUUCUAAUAGCUAUAAUAUUAAUCAGCUCUCCCCAAAGGUGGGGUUUUGUGGCUGUGAUGAAUCCGCAUUCAUUCUGAUCCUUUACCUUCUUAGGAAUACAGAAUCCUGGCACAUGCUCGCCCUUGGCCUCAUUCCCUACAAUCCGGAUAUCCCUGUGCAGGUCCUCAAUGAGAGCAAGCUGGUUCCCAGCAUCUAAUUUCUGCAGGAGAGAGGGGUAAAACAAAGAUCAGGCAACAUGACAUCCAGAUAUCUUCUGUGAAGUCUUCUGAGGCCAGGCGUUACUCCUGUAACCUUUUUAAGCUGCCUCUCACCUUGGUGAUGGAAUUAAGUGCAUCCCAGCUUUCAUUCAGAACUACGGGGUUGGUGUCAUUAAACAGGCGAAUCAAGCCUGAAACCAAGCUCCUGAGAUGCCCAGUGUAGUCUGCUUUUGUCUUGGAGCAGUAGAUGUUCAACAUGACAGCUGCUGCCUGUCUCAUGCCCAGCUCAGGGCUGCGGGUAGCUUCUAGCAGAUCUUCAGUUAUAAUUCUUUGUCCAACAUCAUCUUCCACAGACAGGAUCACAGACUGGCAAUUUGCCAUCUCCUGAAGAGUCGAAAUUAACUUUACAUUAGCUCUCAAACAGAUCAAAGCCAAAUUUAGCCCCAGGUUUCUCCAUGUUAUCCCCAGCACUGUCUCUAAAUAAAUCCUACAACACACCCCA